rnacentral:rRNA from 1 species
UACGGGGGGGGCAAGCGUUGUUCGGAAUUACUGGGCGUAAAGGGCUCGUAGGCGGCCAACUAAGUCGGAUGUGAAAUCCCCAGGCUUAACCUGGGAACUGCAUCCGAUACUGGAUGGCUUGAAUCCGGGAGAGGGAUGCAGAAUUCCAGGUGUAGCGGUGAAAUGCGUAGAUAUCAGGAGGAAUACCGAUGGCGAAGGCAGGUCUCUGGGCUAUAACUGACGCUCAUGCACGAAAGCGUGGGGAGCAAACAGG